ACAAUCGUCUAUUUUUCACAUCCCGGUCUCUACUUUUAGCUUUUUAAAAGUUAAUAGCCAAAUUUUCGAAAGAAAUAUGUUUGCUAAAUGAAUACGUAUUUAUUUGUUUAUACCUUUAGAUUGUAUAACACUCUUUUCGCUGAUCGAGAUGACACUCAAUCUUAUUAAGAUAUAUAUAGCAAAUAGUACUCCCUUAAUAUUUUUCAACGAUUCUGUAUUAUGCUAGAACUACUCAAUAUAUGUAAGCCAAUAUUUCUCAGCGGCAAAAAAGCCGAAUUAGACCAAAGCACUUUAUAGACCUGCACAAUUCCACUAUUGGCUCAUAAGAUCCAAUAAUAGCAAUAUCUUGUGAUCACCACUCCAUUUGGAAGCUUUUCUUCCUGUUCGAGCCUUGGGCUAGAGGAUAAACGUGUGACGUCGUUUCAGUUGCGAUCUAAGACGACUGCUUCUGCGGUAAUUACUCCUGCUAAUCGCGGUAAUGACUCGGAAGUGUGUUCUAAUGCACUUGUAUGCGUCAGCGACUUACUCAGGUGACGCGCGAUUAUUGUCAAGAAACUGGUAUAUUCGAUUUUCAGCAGUGAAAUAAGGAGAGUAGAAAAUGUAUAUUUGCAUCGCGCUAUUAACAAUUGGGGAUUUGUAUUCGGUAACUGGUAUUUGUAACGGUUGAAGAAUGCGCUCAUGCCGGUCAGCGGUGGAGGAAGAGUGUGAAGCAUCCUGGGAAGGCAAGCAAAUGGCACUGUCAUCACGUGCACUCGUGUGUUUUACGCAUGCGUGCUAUUUCGCUGGGUCAAAAAGAUGAUAGCAGGUAAUUACAAAAACACACUUGCACAUUCCUUUGAAUGUCAGUUAAUUAAGAUCAACCCCACGCCUUGCUUUCCAUCACGAAAUCUUGCGAUUUGUGCAGGUACCGGUACCUCUAUAAGAGGAACCGAGGGAAUCUACCUGUGGCUAUGUUCAGUACUAGCUUUAGAGACACUCUGCUUUCCAAAGUUAAUUUUAAAGGCUCUUUGACGGUUUUCAAGGUUCAGAGUACCUACAAAAGGCUGAUUCGCUCAUUUCAUAACACGUUCUCUAAAGUCGGCUGUUUACACAUCAUUUAUUUGCUUAUAAUAUUUUAGUAUUUUUAACGCUCUGCGGCGUCCGCCACGAAGUCUUGUUCUGGCUUACUUUACAAUAUUGCGUGACUCAACCAAACCAGGGCGUUACUGCAGAGACUUUGCACAGAACGAACCGCAAGGUCUAGCGCCACUUCGCUUUCACUUUACGUCUUCGCGAGCGCAACACGUUUUGAAAGCAAUCAGUGUCGACUCGAGCUUAACGGCUUAGAGCUAAGCUUAAUGUCAGUUGUGUGCGUCCAAAAAUGCAGGUUAAAUCACGGACUGGCGAGUUGAUGUAGGUCAUAUCGGCUUGACGUGAGAUUUAUUUGAUGAUAAAGUGUUGACUACUCAUGUGGUAUUCGCUUUAGCUGUCCACAACUUCAAGAUCGUUAUGAUAACAUUGCAGAUGUACCUCUGGUGGAAUUCGAAGAACUGUGAGCACAAACGCACAGUCAUCGCUUUGUAGUC